AGCUCCAAUAGCGUAUAUUAAAGUUGUUGCAGUUAAAAAGCUCGUAGUUGAACUUUGGGCUUGGAGAAUCGGUCCAACUUUGUUGUGUACUGUCUUCUCCGGGUCUUUCCUUCUGGUUCUCAUUUGGGGUUUACUCCAUUUGUUGAUCCAGGAUUUUUACUUUGAAAAAAUUAGAGUGUUCAAAGCAGGCGUUUUGCUCGAAUAUAUUAGCAUGGAAUAAUAGAAUAGGACGAUUGGUUCUAUUUUGUUGGUUUCUAGGACCAUCGUAAUGAUUAAUAGGGACGGUCGGGGGCAUCAGUAUUCAGUUGUCAGAGGUGAAAUUCUUGGAUUUACUGAAGACUAACUACUGCGAAAGCAUUUGUCAAGGACGUUUUCA
rnacentral:rRNA from 1 species